UAGUCCACGCCGUAAACGAUGGUCACUAGCUGUUCGGACUUCGGUCUGAGUGGCUAAGCGAAAGUGAUAAGUGACCCACCUGGGGAGUACGUUCGCAAGAAUGAAACUCAAAGGAAUUGACGGGGGCCCGCACAAGCGGUGGAGCAUGUGGUUUAAUUCGAUGAUACGCGAGGAACCUUACCAGGGCUUAAAUGUACAUUGCAUAGCGUAGAGAUAUGCUUUUCUUCGGACUAUGUACAAGGUGCUGCAUGGUUGUCGUUAGCUCGUGCCGUGAGGUGUCAGGUUAAGUCCUAUAACGAGCGCAACCCCUACCGUUAGUUGCCAGCAUGUAAUGAUGGGGACUCUAACGGGACUGCCGGUGCAAACCGUGAGGAAGGUGGGGACGACGUCAAAUCAUCACGGCCCUUACGUCCUGGGCCACACACGUGCUACAAUGGCCGGUACAGAGGGAAGCCACCACGUAAGUGGGCGCGGAUCUAUAAAACCGGUCACAGUUCGGAUUGCAGGCUGAAACUCG
rnacentral:rRNA from 1 species